rnacentral:rRNA from 1 species
UACGAAGGGUGCUAGCGUUGCUCGGAAUCACUGGGCGUAAAGCGCACGUAGGCGGCUUUCUAAGUCAGGGGUGAAAUCCUGGAGCUCAACUCCAGAACUGCCUUUGAUACUGGAGAGCUUGAGUCCGGGAGAGGUGAGUGGAACUCCGAGUGUAGAGGUGAAAUUCGUAGAUAUUCGCAAGAACACCAGAGGCGAAGGCGGCUCCCUGGCCAGAUACUGACGCUGAGGCACGAAAGCGUGGGGAGCAAACAGG